rnacentral:tRNA from 1 species
UCCCUGGUAGUCUAGUGGUUAGGACUCUGCACUUCCACUGCAAGGUCAGAAGUUCAAUCCCUGUUAAGGGAA